rnacentral:rRNA from 1 species
AUUGAACGCUGGCGGCAGGCCUAACACAUGCAAGUCGAACGGUAACAGGAUAGCUUGCUAUCGCUGACGAGUGGCGGACGGGUGAGUAAUACUUAGGGAUCUGCCCUUGGGUGGGGGACAACCAUUGGAAACGAUGGCUAAUACCGCAUAACGUCUACGGACCAAAGGGGGCUUCGGCUCUCGCCCUGGGAUGAACCUAAGCGAGAUUAGCUUGUUGGUGAGGUAACGGCUCACCAAGGCGACGAUCUCUAGCUGUUCUGAGAGGAAGAUCAGCCACACUGGGACUGAGACACGGCCCAGACUCCUACGGGAGGCAGCAGUGGGGAAUAUUGCACAAUGGGGGGAACCCUGAUGCAGCCAUGCCGCGUGUGUGAAGAAGGCCUUCGGGUUGUAAAGCACUUUCAGUUGUGAGGAAAGGUUGGUAGUUAAUACCUGCCAGCUGUGACGUUAACAACAGAAGAAGCACCGGCUAACUCCGUGCCAGCCGCCGCCGUAACAC